rnacentral:rRNA from 1 species
GAUUAAGUUAUUAAGGGCGCACGGUGGAUGCCUUGGCACUAGAAGCCGAUGAAGGACGUUACUAACGACGAUAUGCUUUGGGGAGCUGUAAGUAAGCUUUGAUCCAGAGAUUUCCGAAUGGGGAAACCCAGCAUGAGUUAUGUCAUGUUAUCGAUAUGUGAAUACAUAGCAUAUCAGAAGGCACACCCGGAGAACUGAAACAUCUUAGUACCCGGAGGAAGAGAAAGAAAAUUCGAUUCCCUUAGUAGCGGCGAGCGAAACGGGAAGAGCCCAAACCAACAAGCUUGCUUGUUGGGGUUGUAGGACACUCUAUACGGAGUUACAAAGGACGACAUUAGACGAAUCAUCUGGAAAGAUGAAUCAAAGAAGGUAAUAAUCCUGUAGUCGAAAAUGUUGUCUCUCUUGAGUGGAUCCUGAGUACGACGGAGCACGUGAAAUUUCGUCGGAAUCUGGGAGGACCAUCUCCUAAGGCUAAAUACUCUCUAGUGACCGAUAGUGAACCAGUACCGUGAGGGAAAGGUGAAAAGUACCCCGGAAGGGGAGUGAAAUAGAACCUGAAACCGUGUGCUUACAAGUAGUCAGAGCCCGUUAAUGGGUGAUGGCGUGCCUUUUGUAGAAUGAACCGGCGAGUUACGAUUUGAUGCAAGGUUAAGCAGUAAAUGUGGAGCCGUAGCGAAAGCGAGUCUGAAUAGGGCGUUUAGUAUUUGGUCGUAGACCCGAAACCAGGUGAUCUACCCUUGGUCAGGUUGAAGUUCAGGUAACACUGAAUGGAGGACCGAACCGACUUACGUUGAAAAGUGAGCGGAUGAACUGAGGGUAGCGGAGAAAUUCCAAUCGAACCUGGAGAUAGCUGGUUCUCUCCGAAAUAGCUUUAGGGCUAGCCUCAAGUGAUGAUUAUUGGAGGUAGAGCACUGUUUGGACGAGGGGCCCCUCUCGGGUUACCGAAUUCAGACAAACUCCGAAUGCCAAUUAAUUUAACUUGGGAGUCAGAACAUGGGUGAUAAGGUCCGUGUUCGAAAGGGAAACAGCCCAGACCACCAGCUAAGGUCCCAAAAUAUAUGUUAAGUGGAAAAGGAUGUGGCGUUGCCCAGACAACUAGGAUGUUGGCUUAGAAGCAGCCAUCAUUUAAAGAGUGCGUAAUAGCUCACUAGUCGAGUGACACUGCGCCGAAAAUGUACCGGGGCUAAACAUAUUACCGAAGCUGUGGAUUGUCCUUUGGACAAUGGUAGGAGAGCGUUCUAAGGGCGUUGAAGCAUGAUCGUAAGGACAUGUGGAGCGCUUAGAAGUGAGAAUGCCGGUGUGAGUAGCGAAAGACGGGUGAGAAUCCCGUCCACCGAUUGACUAAGGUUUCCAGAGGAAGGCUCGUCCGCUCUGGGUUAGUCGGGUCCUAAGCUGAGGCCGACAGGCGUAGGCGAUGGAUAACAGGUUGAUAUUCCUGUACCACCUAUAAUCGUUUUAAUCGAUGGGGGGACGCAGUAGGAUAGGCGAAGCGUGCGAUUGGAUUGCACGUCUAAGCAGUAAGGCUGAGUAUUAGGCAAAUCCGGUACUCGUUAAGGCUGAGCUGUCAUGGGGAGAAGACAUUGUGUCUUCGAGUCGUUGAUUUCACACUGCCGAGAAAAGCCUCUAGAUAGAAAAUAGGUGCCCGUACCGCAAACCGACACAGGUAGUCAAGAUGAGAAUUCUAAGGUGAGCGAGCGAACUCUCGUUAAGGAACUCGGCAAAAUGACCCCGUAACUUCGGGAGAAGGGGUGCUCUUUAGGGUUAACGCCCAGAAGAGCCGCAGUGAAUAGGCCCAAGCGACUGUUUAUCAAAAACACAGGUCUCUGCUAAACCGUAAGGUGAUGUAUAGGGGCUGACGCCUGCCCGGUGCUGGAAGGUUAAGAGGAGUGGUUAGCUUCUGCGAAGCUACGAAUCGAAGCCCCAGUAAACGGCGGCCGUAACUAUAACGGUCCUAAGGUAGCGAAAUUCCUUGUCGGGUAAGUUCCGACCCGCACGAAAGGCGUAACGAUUUGGGCACUGUCUCAACGAGAGACUCGGUGAAAUCAUAGUACCUGUGAAGAUGCAGGUUACCCGCGACAGGACGGAAAGACCCCGUGGAGCUUUACUGUAGCCUGAUAUUGAAAUUCGGCACAGCUUGUACAGGAUAGGUAGGAGCCUUUGAAACGUGAGCGCUAGCUUACGUGGAGGCGCUGGUGGGAUACUACCCUAGCUGUGUUGGCUUUCUAACCCGCACCACUUAUCGUGGUGGGAGACAGUGUCAGGCGGGCAGUUUGACUGGGGCGGUCGCCUCCUAAAAGGUAACGGAGGCGCUCAAAGGUUCCCUCAGAAUGGUUGGAAAUCAUUCAUAGAGUGUAAAGGCAUAAGGGAGCUUGACUGCGAGACCUACAAGUCGAGCAGGGUCGAAAGACGGACUUAGUGAUCCGGUGGUUCCGCAUGGAAGGGCCAUCGCUCAACGGAUAAAAGCUACCCCGGGGAUAACAGGCUUAUCUCCCCCAAGAGUUCACAUCGACGGGGAGGUUUGGCACCUCGAUGUCGGCUCAUCGCAUCCUGGGGCUGUAGUCGGUCCCAAGGGUUGGGCUGUUCGCCCAUUAAAGCGGUACGCGAGCUGGGUUCAGAACGUCGUGAGACAGUUCGGUCCCUAUCCGUCGUGGGCGUAGGAAAUUUGAGAGGAGCUGUCCUUAGUACGAGAGGACCGGGAUGGACAUACCUCUGGUGUACCAGUUGUCGUGCCAACGGCAUAGCUGGGUAGCUAUGUGUGGACGGGAUAAGUGCUGAAAGCAUCUAAGCAUGAAGCCCCCCUCAAGAUGAGAUUUCCCAACUUCGGUUAUAAGAUCCCUCAAAGAUGAUGAGGUUAAUAGGUUCGAGGUGGAAGCAUGGUGACAUGUGGAGCUGACGAAUACUAAUCGAUCGAAGACUUAAUCAA